rnacentral:rRNA from 1 species
UUGAAGUUCAGGUAACACUGAAUGGAGGACCGAACCGACUUACGUUGAAAAGUGAGCGGAUGAACUGAGGGUAGCGGAGAAAUUCCAAUCGAACCUGGAGAUAGCUGGUUCUCUCCGAAAUAGCUUUAGGGCUAGCCUCAAGUGAUGAUUAUUGGAGGUAGAGCACUGUUUGGACGAGGGGCCCCUCUCGGGUUACCGAAUUCAGACAAACUCCGAAUGCCAAUUAAUUUAACUUGGGAGUCAGAACAUGGGUGAUAAGGUCCGUGUUCGAAAGGGAAACAGCCCAGACCACCAGCUAAGGUCCCAAAAUAUAUGUUAAGUGGAAAAGGAUGUGGCGUUGCCCAGACAACUAGGAUGUUGGCUUAGAAGCAGCCAUCAUUUAAAGAGUGCGUAAUAGCUCACUAGUCGAGUGACACUGCGCCGAAAAUGUACCGGGGCUAAACAUAUUACCGAAGCUGUGGAUUGUCCUUUGGACAAUGGUAGGAGAGCGUUCUAAGGGCGUUGAAGCAUGAUCGUAAGGACAUGUGGAGCGCUUAGAAGUGAGAAUGCCGGUGUGAGUAGCGAAAGACGGGUGAGAAUCCCGUCCACCGAUUGACUAAGGUUUCCAGAGGAAGGCUCGUCCGCUCUGGGUUAGUCGGGUCCUAAGCUGAGGCCGACAGGCGUAGGCGAUGGAUAACAGGUUGAUAUUCCUGUACCACCUAUAAUCGUUUUAAUCGAUGGGGGGACGCAGUAGGAUAGGCGAAGCGUGCGAUUGGAUUGCACGUCUAAGCAGUAAGGCUGAGUAUUAGGCAAAUCCGGUACUCGUUAAGGCUGAGCUGUGAUGGGGAGAAGACAUUGUGUCUUCGAGUCGUUGAUUUCACACUGCCGAGAAAAGCCUCUAGAUAGAAAAUAGGUGCCCGUACCGCAAACCGACACAGGUAGUCAAGAUGAGAAUUCUAAGGUGAGCGAGCGAACUCUCGUUAAGGAACUCGGCAAAAUGACCCCGUAACUUCGGGAGAAGGGGUGCUCUUUAGGGUUAACGCCCAGAAGAGCCGCAGUGAAUAGGCCCAAGCGACUGUUUAUCAAAAACACAGGUCUCUGCUAAACCGUAAGGUGAUGUAUAGGGGCUGACGCCUGCCCGGUGCUGGAAGGUUAAGAGGAGUGGUUAGCUUCUGCGAAGCUACGAAUCGAAGCCCCAGUAAACGGCGGCCGUAACUAUAACGGUCCUAAGGUAGCGAAAUUCCUUGUCGGGUAAGUUCCGACCCGCACGAAAGGCGUAACGAUUUGGGCACUGUCUCAACGAGAGACUCGGUGAAAUCAUAGUACCUGUGAAGAUGCAGGUUACCCGCGACAGGACGGAAAGACCCCGUGGAGCUUUACUGUAGCCUGAUAUUGAAAUUCGGCACAGCUUGUACAGGAUAGGUAGGAGCCUUUGAAACGUGAGCGCUAGCUUACGUGGAGGCG